rnacentral:lncRNA from 1 species
AAAAUAGGAAUGCCUUAUAUUUACAUACACAGGUAUACAAUUAAUUAUAACAAAGGUACAGAAGCUUUGCCUUUACCAAGUAACAACGGGAUUCCAAUUUAAAUAGUAUAGAUUUUAUUUCUUUCGGUUUUUAACUAGGAUCAAUUCAAAAGAAAAUCAAACCAACAACAACAACAACCUAAGAAAAAGGAUCCCAACCUCCUUUCUAAUGCUGUCUUGACAUCUCUUUGAGGCUGUUAGUUAACACUGUAGUGAAAGGAUAUGUCUUUAUAUUGAUUUUUUUGUAUUUAAGGUGGAAGCUUUAGCAAAACAGAGAAUGAGAAUUCUGGGCUCAUGUGUAUGUCCAAGACACAGGGUCAGACACUAGGAAGGGCCUGUCUUGUGACCUUAAAUAAUCCAGUUGCUUCUCAUCUUGAUUCCUUGGGGAAAACACUGGGAGCAUUUAGCUAGCACCUAAUCUCUGCUUCGUUACCCCACUCUGGGCUGGAAAGUGGGUUUUCUCCAGGCACUGGAGAAAGAGCAGCAUUAAAAGAUUAAAUAACACCAAAUUUCUCUUAAGAUACUUCAGGAAGGUUUGCAAGCUUGGACAUGUGCCUUGAUUUCUCCGACUGGCUCUUGUGUCUCAGUCUAUCUGAAAGUAAGCAGCAACCUCUCCUACUGAGAAAUGCUGCCUUCAGAGUCAAGGAGACAUGCCAGAGAACACCAACAAGAGAAGGGAAUGCUGAAAGAGCCUAAAUGUCCUGGUUUCCCCUUUGUUUCCCACACCCAGGCUCACUUUACUGAGCUUCCCUGCACCCUGCUCUCUGCUGCCAGCAUCUUUGAGGUGAUCUGUUUCCAAGCAGAAAGAAUUUCUUGAGGUAAAACUCUCCAUUAUUAGAACAGAAGAUUGACACAAAACGAAAGAGCGCCAAUGGACAACGACGACGACAACAGAAAUCACACACGUGACAGGUUGAUUAGACUUAAGCAGCUUUAUAUCCUUGCUGGGGGUUUUUUGGUGGUUUUAUUUAUUCCAAGUGUAAAUAUCUUUUCUUUUUUGACAUCUUUCUAGAGAUUAAUUCCUCGCUGUAAGCCUGUGUCCCCUUGGGUGCUUCUCUAAUAGUGUAGUGAGCUGAGCCAUCCCAAAGAAAAGGUGGUUGACAAGCUCUGUUUUUGAAGCAUUCUGCACAAAGUAGUUAUGCUCUGUAAGACAACUCAACUUUUGGGGAGAAAGGGACACUGCACAGUGGAAGAGGUGAGGGAAAACUUCAGCACUCCAUGGACCAAAUGAUAUACUUUGAAAUGGGAACAACAUUGGGUGCAAAGUAGGAAACUCAGGUUGUGAAUGGCCAGGGGACUGAGGUUCACACCAUGAUUUUGAGGUUCACUUGCUUCACCAGUUGCCUGCUCCACAGCAUACCAUGUUUGGAUGACAAGAGCUAGGACAUCCCAAGACUUCCACCUGCCCUGGAGGACAAGUCUUUUACUACUCAUCAGAUGCACAGAGCAAAUUGUCUUGUCAUGGUCUAGCGUGUGAUUUCCCUGCCCAUGGCACAGGGUUGGAAUUAGAUGAUCUUAAGGUCCUUUCCAACCCUAAGUAUUCUAUGAUUCUAUGAUCACUGAGGCUAUGCCAAUACUUUUCUAUCCAAUGACUGUCAUGGUGAGGCAUCUGCCACCAUAGAAACACAAUCUACUGUGAUUGUGUAAAUUAUCAUAGCUCCCUAGUUUGGAGAAAGAGCCUACCUCGGGAGUCUGGGAAGUAUGACCAGUUUUCUUCCUCUCUCUUGUUCCUUUAACAGCACCAAGCAAUACCUCCACAUUGUCAGAUGAAUCUGCUUCAUGAGUUAUUAUUCUGCAGGCUGCUGAGAAGGGUGAAGCAUGACUUGUUUUACUGAUGUGAGAGAUAGUCCUGGUCAUCUCCAGCAGCCCAGGCUUUUCUUUUGUUGUGUGAUGGUCCUUGGACUUAAGCAUCCUUUGUGGAGACACAAAUGUAUGGUCUACUAAAAGGAGCCCUGGAACUCAGUCUUUGUGGGUUUCCAAUCUUCCUUUGUAAGAGUCUUCCACAUAAUAGUGUCUCUUUCCAGAACACUUCACUAAAUCACUGGGGAAGGACAGCUUUACAUUUUGUGUUUUGGCUUAUUUUAUCCUCUUGAUCUUAGCUGUGAUGUGCUUGGGUUGUUACAUCAUAGGAACCCCAGACUUCACGAAAUGUUGAAGGGAUGCGUAGUCUUUGUGUUGGUUGACUCAACAGUGAGACCGGUCUCUGGACUCUUAAAACUCUAUUUAUCAGUUUUCAAAAACAUUAUUAAAAAUAAUGAUGACAAUUCUGUGGUUUACUUGGUCUCUUUCCCUUCAUGGCAAACACCUUCCUGCAGGCUAAUGCACAGAUCUGGAAACUUUAAUAAUCACUUUUCAGUUAAAGCAAAUACCAGCCAAACUUCUGCUUGUAAAUCUUCUUCAUGCCAUAAUGUAACUGGUCUCCAGUGUCAAAGAGGUAUGAUAAGACAAAUGCAGUGGUAGAACUAUAGAUGGGAGAACUGGCAUAGCCCUCUUACCUAAUGGACCAAGGCUAGUGUAUGCUGGAUUGGACCGAACCUUCAGAUUUGUUCUGGAGAGAAUGAAGAGUGGGAAGAGAAGUUGCCCAGAGAAGCUGUAGCUGGCCUGUCCCUGGCAGUGUUCAAGGCCAGGUUAGAUGGGGCUUUAAGCAACGUGCUCUAGUGGAAAGUGUCCCUGUCCGUGGCAGGGAGAUUGGAACUGGAUGAUCUUUAAGGUCCCUUCCAACCCAAACCAUUCUAUGAUUCACUGUCUUGAUUGCAGUGUUUGAGAAAUACCCAUAAACAUCAACCUAUCAUCUGGCAUAUUUUGGAUAUUAGGAGCCUUUCUGUUGACUGCUAGGGACUUUGGCUCCAGUCCUCUCCAUGAGGCUUAGAAAACAGCAUGGAAUACCACCUAUUGGGCAUUUUUUAUCAAGUGUGGGAAGGGAGGUGGGAGGAAACAAAUCAAAGGAGGAAGAAAAGAAUGCAUCCAUGUUGUAGUAGGGCUCAUUCUUCUGCUUGUGUCUUUGUUUUUAGUUGUAUUCUACAUGCACUUAAAAAAUAGUUAGCUGAACAGUUGAGGCUGGGAAGAAAGAUGCCAAGACCUCUCAUAGACUGGGGGAUGCUGGGACAGUGGUUGUAAAUGGGGAGGGCACUGAAGGGUACAGGGGAGGAAGCCCACGCAUUUACGUCACUAUUCUGGCACAUUUUCCACACAAAACCCAAAACCAGCUCAUACACCAAAUAAAGUAAAACAAAAAGAAAACUAAGGAGGAGAUGAAAGAGAAGCAAAAUAGAGAUUUUCUUUCAAAUCCUGGGGAUGGGGGAAAGAAGAGGAUGGAGAGAAAAUGGAAAUGCCUAACUGGGAACUUGGGAAGGGUUAAGACACCAAUCUCAUGGAGCUUCCCAUUUCCCUUAAGUGUUUCAUUCUCGGUGUCUCUGAGGUGUUCAAGUUUUCCUUGAAAAAACACAAAAAAAAUAUAUUACAGAUGAAAAACUCCGUACCAGCAAGAAGAAAUAAAAUAAUCACAAUGGAAAACAACCAUCAUAAACCAAAAAACACAGACCUGAAAACAUCAAAAAAAAACAGGGUGAGUCUCAAAUUUCCCCUGUGGUGUUCCUCUGACUCCAGCAACAGGAUUACACCAGUUCACUUUGAUACUUUCUUUUGUUUAAAACAGCUUCGUCAUCCUUUCAUGUGCGCAUGUCCAGGCAGUACAGCCCAUCACUCAUAACCCCUUCCCUCCAAGCCAGCUAUUCAUCCUUAGACUCCUACCAUCCAGCUGUGAGUACAAGGCAUGACAAUAGGGUCCAUAUUUAUCUUUUGUGGCACUUUGUUUGUCAAAACCUUUGGUUUCUUCAUUUUUUUUUAUAUAUUUUUUUUAUUUUUCCUUGUUUUAUGUACUUAUAAAAAUAUUGUGUUUGUGGUGGUGGUGUCAUUUUCUUACCGCUGGCUCUGGUGGGACUUUUCACCCCACUUUCACAGCCAUCAUCAGUGGAUCUGGAACAUGCUCCGACGUUACUUAAACGCAUCAACAAAACCAUGGCAGAACCAACCAAACCCCCCAAAACCAUCCCCAGUGCCCAGGCCUCUUAAAAAUGCUGAGAUGUCCAUAAGGUGCAUGAUGAGUCCAUCAGCUCAGCACUCAAACAGAAAGCAAGCAAAACUAAAGAGGAAAGAACGCACACGCGCACACAGAUACAC